rnacentral:rRNA from 1 species
UACGGAGGGUGCAAACGUUAUCCGGAAUCACUGGGCGUAAAGCGCAUGUAGGUGGCUUGGCAAGUACACGAUUAAAGACCGAUGCUUAACAUCGGGAAGGUUGUGUAUACUACCUGGCUAGAGGAGAGCAGGGGUAAGCGGAACUUUAGGUGUAGGAGUGAAAUCCGUAGAUAUCUAAAGGAACACCAAUGGCGAAGGCAGCUUACUGGGCUCUAUCUGACACUGAGAUGCGAAAGCGUGGGGAGCGAACGGG